GGGGAGGCCGGAUCCUGGGCUGUGUCCCGGGCUCCCAAUGCUCCCGGUCUGCGCUGUUGGAUUCGCGCUCCCGCCCCGCAGCCCCCUC
rnacentral:pre_miRNA from 1 species